UACGUAGGGUGCAAGCGUUGUCCGGAAUUAUUGGGCGUAAAGGGCGCGUAGGCGGCCUGAUAAGUAGGGGGUGAAAUCCUGCGGCUUAACCGCAGGGCUGCCUUCUAAACUGUCGGGCUAGAGCACGGUAGAGGCAGAUGGAAUUCCCGGUGUAGCAGUGAAAUGCGUAGAGAUCGGAAAGAACACCAACGGCGAAAGCACUCUGCUGGGCCGACACUGACACUGAGAGACGAAAGCUAGGGGAGCGAAUGGG
rnacentral:rRNA from 1 species